rnacentral:lncRNA from 1 species
GCAAUGAAAAAAAAACAGGAAAUUUCCACUGUAAGAUGUUCUAAAUGAAGUAUUUAAUAUACUAAAUACACACCCAGCUAAUUUUUAAAAAAGUUUUGUAGAGACAGGAUCUUUGUAUGUUGCCCAGGCUAGACCACAUUUUUCUGUAGAAAUAAUGAGUCGCAGAAUUUAGGAAAUGGGAGAAUAUUACUGCCCCACUGGAUUUGGGGAAUCUCGGCUCUUAACAGAAACUGGGCUUAAUCAUUCAAAAUGAAGUUGGUUUCUUUCACACCUGGGUUUGCAGACUGAGCCACCAGAUCGUGCCACUGUACUCCAGCCUGGCUACAGAGCAAGACUCUGUCUCAACAACAACAACAAAAAAAAAAAAAAAAAAAAAAAGAAAGAAAGAAAAAAAUGAACUAACGUAACUAAAGAGUAGAAUAGAGCCUGGGAGAGGUGCUGAUGGGGAGAAGAAAGGAUGGGGAGAGGUUGGUUAUGGGAUACGAAAUUACAGCUAGUGGUUCAUGCCUAUAAUCCCAACACUUUGAGAGGCCAAGGCGGGCGGAUCUCCUGAGGUCAGGAGCUCAAGAGCAGCCUGGCCAACACGGAGAAACUCCAUCUCUACUACAAAAAUUAGCCAGACGUGGUGGCGCAUACCUGUAAUCCCAGCUACUUGGGAGGCUGAGGCAGGAGAAUCACUUGAACCCGGGAGGCAGAGGUUGCAGUGAGCCAAGAUCGUACCAUUGCACUCCAGCCUGGGUGACAGAGCAAGACUCUGUCUCAAAAAAAAAAAAAAAAAAUUACAGCUAGAUAAGAGGCAUGAGUUCUGGACUUCUGCAGCACCACAGAAUGAAUAUGGUUAAUAAUAAUUUAUUGUAUAUUUUCAAAGAAGUAGAAAAGAAGAUUUUGAAUGUUCACAACACAAAGAAAUAAUAAAGGUUUGAGCUGGUGGAUUUGUUACCCUGAUUUGAUCAUUAUACAUUGAGUACACAAAUAUCACUAUGUAUCCCAUACAUAUGUAUAAUUAUCAUGUGUCAACUAAAAAUAAAAAGCAUAAAAAACCCAAAGAUAUUUGGCUACCAAGUUCUUGGUAGACGUGGAGCCUCAAGAUCAGUUCUGGGUGGAUUGUGAGUAUCUUCUAGACAUCCCUCAAGCCAUUCCAAUUUCUUUUCGACUUUCAGCAUUUCCUCUUGUCAGAGUUUGUAUUCAGCUUAUGAAGCAACCAUUUUAACUAUUUUUCUAGAAUCUCAGUAGUUGCCUUCCUGAGCAAGUCAUUACCACGAGGUUUUUAUUCCUGCUUUCCAUGGCUAAUCACACUCGAGGGGCCACAUACAACCCUCCAGGAAACUGACCACAGGUCACUUCUUCAUUACACGAAUACUUUAAGAGACGUCUUAAUUCUUCUUCCAGCUUCUUCAGCCUUUUCCCCACCCACCCCGACCUCCACAGGAAAGAAAUAAGACCAAGGAAAGCAGCAGCACGCCCUCCCUCUGCCACUGUCACUUCACAGCUCCUUCCCAGUAGAGCCCACUCUAAGCCACGUCCGUGGCCUCUGCCCGCUUUCUGCUCAGGAGUUUGGGGCUGGAGGCAGACUUCGCAUUUCCACGUUGCUGCUGUCAUGCCCCAAAAUAGUAACUCCCCUCCCACCGUCCUUCAAACACACACGCUUUUCCCUUUGCUUGCUUGACUUGCACAAAAGAAAGAAAACAUUCUCACAUCCUGGACUUCUGCCAGCAUUCAAAAAGAAUUAAACUUCCCUCAUUUUCAAAGAGACUCCUUCUCCAAGGCUUCUAAGCUCAGAUGUUCAACUCCAGGGGGCUGCUGAAGCUUUGCUUGACCUUUCCUUGAGACCUACCUACAACACAACCAGCGACCUUGUGGGCAGAGGGACAAGGGUUUUGUUAUCUGUUUCCUGUUGUCUCGGCUGCUCAGGCUGAUGGGGACUGGGAGUCUAUGGCGGGGCAGAGGUUCCUGCUGAGGACAGAAGUGAGCUCAUGUCCAUCGGCCUUCCGGAAGAACAGGCUCAGCGCCUGUCCACUUUCAGCCUCUUUGCUAUGUUCUGUCAAAUGUGUUUUGAAAUCUGAUGGGAAUUUUUCAGGUUUCUUCUCCCGAAUUUUCUCACCCAGUGGUCUCAAGCCUGUUGACAGUAGUAAGCACCAUUAUGUCUGCGGUGGGAGGAGUUGUUUCCUACCCGAGGUAGAUGACUGGGAAAACAACACAGUGUAGCAGAAAGAACCAGGUUUUCAUCAUCAGACCAGCUCGGAUCAGUGUAACAAACCUGCCACUCAUUCGCAGUUUCUUGGACAAGAAACUGGCCUUUCUGAACAUUAAUUUCUCUGACUUUAAAAUUAAAAACACCUAUUUCUGCCUUACAUGUUUUGUUUCUUAAUUUAAAAAUCAUCCAUGCAAAAUUACUUGGGCAGUGCUUGCCACAGUGUGGGUCAUCAACACCUUGUUGUGGGAAGUAUGUUUUCCAUGCUCUUUGACACUUUGCAUGAGCUAGAUCACAAUAGGAACUUAGGACAGCCACAGAAUGAUAGAUAAGGAUUAAUCUUUUAUCUUUUAGAGAUAAAAGCUAAGUAGACAUUGAGUUUUUUUAAAAUAAAACUGAUGGACUGUUAACGAAAAUGAAUGUUCACUUCACCUGUUGUGCAUGAAAGCACCCCAUUUUUGCAAUGGAUACUUAGCAGUUGAGAAGAUUGAAAACAUUUAGGCCUCAGAGUCAAGGAGUAAGGUAUGAUUCAAACUUGCUAAAAAUAAAAUGUGGAAAAUUUGAAUACAAAUUCCAGCAUUUCAAGCCCCGAAUGCUCAGUAAUAUGAAUAUGAAAAAAUAAGUUUUACCUCUGAUUUCCAUCUUCAAGCAUAUGUACAAUUUCAUUUGAAAGAUGUAUUCAAUCUAUUUAUAUCUGCUCUGUCUUAGGACCUAGGGAUUCAGCAGUGAACACAGCAAGCAAUUUUUUUACAUUCAUGGAGCUUAUCUUCUGGUAAAGUUUCAUCUUGGACAUUUAAAAUUAAUACCAAUUCCUGCACUUAUUUCUGAGAAAUUUUAAUUCAAUUGUUGUAUAGGUUGGGGCCAAGACUUGAUUGUUUUCCAAAGUUCUUCAAAUGACUGUUACCUGCAGCCAAGAUUGCAUGGCUGGUAAAGGCCCUCGCAGAUCAGCUGAGGAUGCUGGGUUUUAUUCCAGUGAGAUGACAAGACGUGGGGGCUCUUGAGCAAAGGAGCACUGUGAUCUGAUGAGCAUCCCAACUGACGUGUGCAGACAAGAAUAAUGCUGAUGGGAGGACAGCAGGGGAAGGGACCAGUUAAAUGAGACGAGCUCCUUAAAGAAAACUCUAACAUACAGCUACAGAAAUUGAUGAAAUACUAAAUUAUAUGCCCAGUGGCCCAAAAGUGUGAUGUAAAAUUUGAAAAGGGAAAAAAAGUUCAGGGUGUGAUAAAGUUGUCAGCGAAGGAUU